GGAAAAGGAGUGAAGAAGACUUGGGUUGGAAUAACCUAUGAACUGGAUAAUUAGACUUUGUCCUGUUAAGAGCUGCCUUUUAACGGAGAUAAAGGCAAUAAUGCGGACACUUCAGGCCCAGCAAGCCGUUAGGCUGGACUCUUCUUUGACAGACGAAACUUCUAAAAGGCAGCUGCUGUGGUCUCACAUCUCCCUUCUCCCCGCAAAUGUGUAAAUAAAGAAACACCCCUUUGCCUUUCAUUCAUGGCAGGCUGAACUCGCCCUCAGGAGCUGGGCUGAGUGGCCAGGGCCUUUGGGGCCGAAAUGGCUGGACUCAGAGCGUGGACCUACAAGGAGAAAGCAAGGCAAAGCAAGCAGACGUCCUGGGGAGGUCGGAGCACCUGGUCCAGCAGGGGCAACCAAACAACUCCAGCCUCGACAGGACCCUCAGACAGGAGAGGGGAGUCCGCGUACUACCACUGUGGGACCUGGCUUUACUCAUCCUGGGGUUCUUGUGCUGGAAACCAGGCUCUGGCAUCAACCUCUCAGAGACUAACAACCCCAAACAGAGCACCUCCGACUCCAUGAUAGAAACGCUGGGCGUCAGAAAGCCAUGUUCUCAGCAGCACGAGGUUCUGUCAAAAGUGGUGCAGUGAGAACUCACACCCCAUCAGAUCUGGCUCCUGGAGCAGAGUCACAUGCACAGGCAGCACUGCCUGAGUGGCAGCAGGAUGCCCGUGACACUCCACCACCACCACUGCUAUAGCUGCCGUUACUUUGCACAGCACGGACAAUAUCUCCAGCCUCCACGGU
rnacentral:lncRNA from 1 species